rnacentral:lncRNA from 10 species
CUCUCUCUAACCCAGGUCUUUAGAUGUAAAAGAACUGGUAACUGGGAGGUCAAGGGCUCAAUCUGUUUUUGUUUCUUGAGCUGGCAAAAGGCAAUCUUUCCCAUGUGCUCCUACUCACAAAGAUUUCACAAUUUGAUGAUGACUCACACAUCUGCAUGGAAAAAUAUGCUACUACCCUCAGCUGCAGUAGUUUAUGCCUUUCGCUCAUCUAGAAUGAUUACCCAGAAGUAUGUAAUAGUCACCUAAUGGGGAGCAGGUGUGAGAAGAAACAGUCAUUUUGAACAAAGGGAAUGGACGUACAUUGCAGCAUGAAGGAUUUAGGUUAGACAUCCACUCGCGGGGAGAAUUCUCUUCUGUCAGCAAGAGCAGUGAAACACUGGGAUACGGGAUGAAAGCAGAGUUGUGGCACAUUCUCAGGGCAUUUGAAAAGAAAAGGCCAGGUGGUUUGAUUUCAAUGCUUUCUGAACUGCUCCUCUCAGAGGGAGGCGAAUGAAUUCUGUGAUGGCUGAGGAUCAUUUUCAGUUCUGUGAUUCAUGAGCUCCGAGUUCUGGGGACAUCUGAUUAAAAACCAAGUCAAAGAGCCGCAUAUUCCAGAGGUCCUUUCUGAUCAUCCUGAUUGAUACCGGGAUUUCAUUUUUGGCAUGGUGAGGGUGGCCAAUAAGUAUUUGUUAAGACCAAUUUUGUAUAAUGUCUUUUUCUUUGGAUGAUUUUUUACCUGCAUCUUCAAUGGUCAUAGAAAUGGUCUUUCCUAGGGGUUUAAAACGUAUUGCAAGUAGAGUAUCAUCUGGAAUACUCAAGAGAUCCAAAAAGCCAUCAGACAUUCUUUCUCUCCGUAUUAUUUGGAAUCGUCCAACUUUUAACAGGCUGUACAAUUGUCCUUUAUUUUCCUUUCUAAUUGG